GACGAACGCUGGCGGCGUGCCUAACACAUGCAAGUCGAGCGGAGAUACAUUGAAGAGCAAUCAGAUAUGUAUCUUAGCGGCGGACGGGUGAGUAACGCGUGGGCAACCUGCCUCAUACUGGGGGAUAACACAGGGAAACUUGUGCUAAUACCGCAUAAUAUCAUUAUAGGGCAUCCUGUGAUGAUCAAAGGAGCAAUCCGGUGUGAGAUGGGCCCGCGUCCAAUUAGCUAGUUGGUGGGGUAACGGCCCGCCAAGGCGACGAUUGGUAGCCGAACUGAGAGGUUGAUCGGCCACAUUGGGACUGAGACACGGCCCAGACUCCUACGGGAGGCAGCAGUGGGGAAUAUUGCGCAAUGGGGGAAACCCUGACGCAGCAACGCCGCGUGAAGGAUGAAGGUCUUCGGAUUGUAAACUUCUUUGAUGAGGGACGAACACAAUGACGGUACCUCAAAAACAAGCCACGGCUAACUACGUG
rnacentral:rRNA from 1 species